rnacentral:lncRNA from 1 species
AGUGCCGCAUCAGUUUGAAGUAGGAGAAGCAGUCCUGGUGAGGAGACACCGAGCGGGAAACCUAGAACCGAGGUGGAAGGGACCCUACUUGGUGCUACUGACAACGCCCACCGCGGUCAAAGUGGAAGGAAUCCCCACUUGGGUCCACGCAUCCCACGUUAAGAGAGCACCCCCUGGAGUCAGCCAUGAUGAGUGGACUUUGGAGAAGACUACUAAUCCUUUUAAGUUGCGCCUGCUUCGUAGGAGCGAUCCCAAAAGACUUCAACCCCCACAGUCCUGUUCAACAAACGUGGGAGGUACUCAAUGAGGGGGGUAGGGCUGUAUGGACAAUCGCCGAGGUACACCCUCUGUGGACUUGGUGGCCUGAUCUUUUCCCUGGCUAUAGGAGCCCCUCCUGGAUGGGACUUGGAGGGGUACUCUGACAUUCAGAGGGCACCUUUAACACCCCCUCCGUACGUAGAAAAACAUUCGAGAGACCCAUGGGGUGGUUGCUCUAACCAAAGGGAUAGAAGUAUGCUUCGAACCCAUCCCUUCUAUGUCUGCCCCGGGCCCCACCGAAGUCAGUCCCUCAAUCCAACAUGUGGAGGUAAGGCUGACUUCUUUUGUAAGAGCU